AACGCUGGCGGCGUGCUCACACAUGCAGUCGAACGGAAAGGCCAGCUUGCUGGGUACUCGAGUGGCGAACGGGUGAGUAACACGUGGGUGAUCUGCCCUGGACUCUGGGAUAAGCCUGGAAACUGGGUCUAAUACCGGAUAUGACCUUACAUCGCAUGGUGUUUGGUGGAAAGCUUUUGCGGUUCAGGAUGGGCCCGCGGCCUAUCAGCUUGUUGGUGGGGUAAUGGCCUACCAAGGCGACGACGGGUAGCCGACCUGAGAGGGUGAUCGGCCACACUGGGACUGAGACACGGCCCAGACUCCUACGGGAGGCAGCAGUGGGGAAUAUUGCACAAUGGGCGCAAGCCUGAUGCAGCGACGCCGCGUGAGGGAUGACGGCCUUCGGGUUGUAAACCCCUUUCAGCGGGGAAGAUAAUGACGGUACCCGCAGAAGAAGCCCCGGCUAACUCCGUGCCAGCAGCCGCGGUAAUACGGAGGGGGCUAGCG
rnacentral:rRNA from 1 species